CUUAGUGUUUAUAUCUUCACUGUGUUUUACUCUUUCAGGAAAUGAUGGAAUCUUUUCAUAUAUUUAAAGACCAGAUACAAGUUGUAGAGCAACGAAUAGUUGUGAAACCAGCGAUAUAAGUGCAGUCAUGUAUGAUGUAUCUUGGUACCUGCGUAAAGAACGAGAUAAUGUCUAAUAGUCAAAUUAUAAUUAGAACAUGAUUAUAAUCAGUCAAUAACUUCUUGAUCGGACUCAAUGCAUCUGAUCAAAAAUCAGAGCUGCAGGCAAUAAAUAAGUUUUUAUCAAAGAAGACAAGCCAAUUACUUGUAAGUUCUAAACAAUUGAAGUUGUGCAAUUUAAGUUAUUUUUCACUCCAUGGAACUAGCAAGGACUUGAAUAAAUUGGUGAUCAUAUGGUUGAACAAUAUUGAAGAUUAUCUUAGCAUUCAAAGCAGAUUGAAGAUAUCAAACUGAUUCAGAGAGACAAAACGAAGACCACAAACACUGAGAUUCAAACAGAAUUUCACAAGCUUCGACACGCGAAUAUGGCAGAUUAUAAACACGAAUUAUAUUACAGAUUUGUACUCUAAACUCAAAAUGCCUUUGAUCCAAUCGCUUUCAGCGAUAACCAAACUUUCAAAAGUCAAAGACAUUCGCAGGCACACAUUACGAGACUUUCCAAUUACUAAAACAUACCUGGACUCGAAACUCCGACGAGAUUCUACGACUUCGCGGGAUCGAUCGGUCAGUGACCGCCAUAGUCAUCGAAGCUCUCUUUGUCUAUCUCUCCAAACCCUUCGGUGUAGCCAGUAGCUCUGUCGUUGAAACUAAAUGACAUAAUUACCCUUAUGGCCUUAUCCAUCCGAUCUUGAAUACGACAGCGUUUAACUGUUUCUCGGGACGCUUGUUGAUAACUGAACGACAUCGUUACAUCAGGUUGUCAUAAAC
rnacentral:lncRNA from 1 species